UACGGAGGGUGCAAGCGUUAUCCGGAUUCACUGGGUUUAAAGGGUGCGUAGGAGGGCAGGUAAGUCAGUGGUGAAAUCCCCAAGCUUAACUUGGGAACUGCCAUUGAUUCUAUCUGUCUUGAAUACCGUGGAGACGAGCGGAAUAUGUCAUGUAGCGGUGAAAUGCUUAGAUAUGACAUAGAACACCAAUUGCGAAGGCAGCUCGUUACACGAAUAUUGACUCUGAGGCACGAAAGCGUGGGGAUCAAACAGG
rnacentral:rRNA from 1 species